rnacentral:antisense_RNA from 1 species
CAGCAAACCUUUCCCUGCUGUGAGGUGGGCAAGUUAGUUGCUCCAAAAACAAGAUAAAGUGAUUGAGUUAUUUUCUCAAGCGGGAGUCGGAGUUUAUCUGCUCUGAGAGCCCCAGCAGCUACUAUUAAUAAGUGUCUGGAAUAUGUUCCUGGCAUUUCACCUACCCUCUCUCCAAUCCUUCCAAGAAACUCACAAAGCAGGGCUUUUUCUUGAACUUCUCUUCCUCACAACAGUUAAAUCAUCCAUUUAAAGAUGUCAGACAACCUCCGUGUUCUAAGCCAGACCAUCAAUUUAACUUGUAAAACUACCAACUGUUGCUACACACAGGCAAAGGAAUUAAACUUGGUAGCUGAUCAUCUGAUUACAUCUAUCAGUCUACUGGAGGGCUUCAACGCAGAGUAGGUGGAAUUCAUGGUUCAAAUCAGAGUAUUCAUGGGAUCUGUUUGCACACCAAUACCUGAUCUCCUUGGCACAAAUACAGAGCUGAUUCUUAAAGCAUGUCCCCACAAUAAAGCUUUUCUUAAUCAUU